ACCUAAGGUCAGGAGUUUGAGACCAGCCUGACUAAUAUGGCUAAAACCUAAAUCUAAUGAAGGCAAGGAGUUUGUGACUUUUGUUCAUCUCUUUAUCACCAGUAUGAGGAAUAGUGACAGCUUCAUCACCUAAGUGUGGCUUCAUUGGUUAUCUGCAUCUAGCCCAGAAAAGGGCAAAGAGAAAGUUAAAAGGGAACAAUGUAGCCCUGGAAUAGCAUCCAUCAUCUCUAAAAUAGUCACAUGCCACACGGCACUGCAGGAGACACUGGGAAAUGUGUGUUCUGGAAGAACAGUGAACAGCAACAAUCUCUGACACACUGGGCUAAUCAUAUUGGUGCCUACCAAUUAUCAAUGGUUGGUUAUGUGUCUUUUUGAGUCUUGACUUGAUGACAUUUUGCUGGCUCCUUUCUUUCCCAUACCCCUACUUCUAUUUUACAGAAUGAGGUGUUGCCCCAUUCUAGAAUGGCAAAUAAAAGCCAAUUAGAGCUUUAAAUCAAAUGUGUUAUAAUUUUAUCUUUUGA